UUUGCGACGCCCAACACACAAAACAAGCGGUGAGUGCUUUGGGGUGGGGUGACUGCGUACCUUUUGUAUAAUGGGUCAGCGACUUAUAUUCUGUAGCAAGGUUAACCGUAUAGGGGAGCCGAAGGGAAACCGAGUCUUAACCGGGCGUUAAGUUGCAGGGUAUAGACCCGAAACCCGGUGAUCUAGCCAUGGGCAGGUUGAAGGUUGGGUAACACUAACUGGAGGACCGAACCGACUAAUGUUGAAAAAUUAGCGGAUGACUUGUGGCUGGGGGUGAAAGGCCAAUCAAACCGGGAGAUAGCUGGUUCUCCCCGAAAGCUAUUUAGGUAGCGCCUCGUGAACUCAUCUUCGGGGGUAGAGCACUGUUUCGGCUAGGGGGUCAUCCCGACUUACCAACCCGAUGCAAACUGCGAAUACCGAAGAAUGUUAUCACGGGAGACACACGGCGGGUGCUAACGUCCGUCGUGAAGAGGGAAACAACCCAGACCGCCAGCUAAGGUCCCAAAGUCACAGUUAAGUGGGAAACGAUGUGGGAAGGCUCAGACAGCCAGGAUGUUGGCUUAGAAGCAGCCAUCAUUUAAAGAAAGCGUAAUAGCUCACUGGUCGAGUCGGCCUGCGCGGAAGAUGUAACGGGGCUAAACUGUGCACCGAAGCUGCGGCAGCGACGCUUAUGCGUUGUUGGGUAGGGGAGCGUUCUGUAAGCCUGCGAAGGUGUCCUGUGAGGGAUGCUGGAGGUAUCAGAAGUGCGAAUGCUGACAUAAGUAACGAUAAUGCGGGUGAAAAGCCCGCUCGCCGGAAGACCAAGGGUUCCUGUCCAACGUUAAUCGGGGCAGGGUGAGUCGACCCCUAAGGCGAGGCCGAAAGGCGUAGUCGAUGGGAAACGGGUUAAUAUUCCCGUACUUGGUGUUACUGCGAAGGGGGGACGGAGAAGGCUAUGUUGGCCGGGCGACGGUUGUCCCGGUUUAAGCGUGUAGGCUGGUUUUCCAGGCAAAUCCGGAAAAUCAAG
rnacentral:rRNA from 1 species